GGCCCUUGGCCCGGGUGAGGCCCAGAGGAUGGAUGCGGCAGAGCGUCUCUGACCCUCCUGGCGAGGCCUGGGGCCAAGAGCCUCCAGGUUGGAGGGAGCAAGGAUGAGGACACUCCGCAGGCCCCAGGCCUUUUGGAGAGCUGGUUGAUAGAGGGGGUGAAUGCAGCCUUUUUGUCUUCAUUAUAUUCCAAGUAAAUAUUUAUAAUGGCCUCAUUUUACUGACCAUGGUGCCUGCUUCCUCUACCAGAAUUCUAAGGGAUCAACCAAUGAACUUGUAUGCAUAUAUGCAUAGUCCAUGGACACAGACAAUGGGGUGAUGAGGGCCUGGCUGGAAGAGGUGGAAAAGGAUGGGGGAAAACGAGGACCUAUGUAAUACUUUCAACAAUAAAUAUUUAAAAAAUAAAAAAAGAAGUCUAAAAAAUUAUAUGUGAACAGUAGGCACGAAGUUCCACUUCUUUCUUCUUCCCUCUUGUCUUAAUCCCACUCAACCCCAGCUAUUUCCUGGUCCUUCAUGGCACUCAGGGGAGGAAACCAGGGGACAGGAGAGGGCCAGUGCUGGUUAGGGACUUUGUACACAUUAGAAAGAUGAUUCAGGGCUCAGGCUUUGUCACCUACCCAGGAACCAGAUGAAGCCCCUUGUAGGUCCCUAAUCUAGAUCUUCUUGGUUUUAGUCCUUGUAAGCUUUUGGCUCACAGUGAAUAUGACUGCUGGCUGGGGUAAGCCAGGGCAAGGUAAAUCUGCUUUCUUGAGCCAAACCCAACGAGUCUGCUCAAGAGUCUGGAUUCAUAGGUGCAUCUUCAAUCAUGAAUACACUUCUAGGAGCGGUUGACUUUGGUUGUUUAAGAAAAGAGUUGUGCUGCACUGUAUACAUUUUCCGGAAGCUUGCUUUUCUCACUCAAGAGAUAGAUCUCUUGGAAACCUCUGCAGUUCAAUAGCUAUGCAUCUGACUCAUUCUUUUAAAUGGCUGCAUGGUGCUCCCCAGUGCACUCAGCCAUUCCUCUGUUGAUGAGCAUUCAGUGGUUUCCACUUGUAUGACCUGUGCUGAAUGCUACAAAGGGCGUGUUUGUACCUACAUCCUUAGGAAGUUGACGGUUUCACUUCUCUGGGUUAGAGCCCAAGGAAAGGGUGCAAAGGAUAAAAGGCUACCAGAAUUAAAAAAAACACCCAGGAACAAAGUAAAACAAACAAAUAAAAGAAAAACAACACAGCUGUCUUUACUUUUCAGACAGAGGAAUACACCAGAAAAGCCGUUGGCUGAGUUGUCAUGGAGAGGAGUAAGUCAAGGAUUUUUAAAGGGGGUGUUUAUAAUGUUUACACUAAUUAAAGUUGAAAGCUUAUUCCAUGGACAGGCAGGCUGUGUUGACUACACAGGCUGGAUUGUAUACGGUCGGUUGAACCAAGUCCUAGGUCCAUUAAGAAUUUAGGCAUACCACUGUUACUCGAUAUUCAUGGUUAUUUAACAUCUCUGGCUUGCUGGAAACAGUUGUGAACACCAGCAUUCAGUUUUGCCAUCUCCUAGGCAAGUGCUGCUAAAAGUUCUGUUACAUGGAAUUGCUGGCUGAAAGAGUAUGCGUGUGCGGGAGACACAAUUCAUUUGUGAAAUUAUGGAGAACAGGUUCAGUAGAGAGAUGGAGGCAGAAUGCAGACCAGAGUGCGACCUGCCUUUGAAGAAAUAAGGCCAGAAGGGAACAGAGAGAGGGCUGUAGCUGGAGGUGGGUGAGCAGCAGAGCCAGUGAGAGGGGAGGCUGGGAUGCAGGAGAAGACCCCGAGGGAGGAGAUAAAACCUGGAAAAUGUGAAGGAACUGGCCUCAGGUUGUGCACCCUCACAGUGGGGCAACAACGUCUUCGUUAUUACAGUGGUUGGUGCCCUUCCAAAGGGCCAUGCACAUAAACAGAUUAAAGUUUCAUGGAGUCAGGACAGAGAGCGAUUAGGAAAAACAUGUCUUCCAGGCUUUGUAGGGGCAAUAAUGGGGGAAGAGGUAGAGAAACAUGGCUCAGGGGUGAUUUCCCUAACAGUACUCACUCUUGGUUGCUGACACAAGAAAAAUGAAGGUUGGAUUCAUCCAGAACAAGUAGUGGAACAGGGACCAGAGGCUCUGUGCCUUGUUCUUGCCUCCCCAGCUUCAUUAGUGGAGGAGGUAUGGACUCUACGUUUCAUUCUUGUUUGUAGCCAAUUUGCAUUAGCAAACAUGGUGUCAAGAUAAGCCUCUUAAACCCCCUCGCCAGGAAAUUGGCAUCUCUAGAUGACUUGGGUUUACUUGUUCUGAAGCUGGCUCUUCUCAACAUUUGUGUAAAGGGGUUGAGAGGUUAAUCCUGUUCACUCCCUCCAGCCCCACCGGAAUCUAUUUUCCUCAGGGAUCCAACAUCCAGUUCUUGGCCUCUCUGUUUAGGACUGAACUGCCGGGCCAGGCCCACAGCACCUUGGGCUUCUCACUCCAUUUUUGAGAAGUAAAGAUUGAAGGACAAGUGUGUUGUGCGGCCCAGCAGAAGGUACAGAGGACAGAGAAAUUCCAUUUCUUCUCUGGGAUCCUUGCCAGCACCCUCUAACCAUCCCAAACUGUUUAUCUUUCUCUUUCUAAUGUUUACCGUGUAAUCGUACAUUAUUCAAAUUCCUUGUUCACACUGACUUUAGACAAUUUUUAUGUAUGUCUACUGUUGAUGGCUUUCUUGCUCCAUCCUGUGUUGAACCAUUUUUAAAAGCUAUCACUAACCCAAAGGUCUUCCACCCAGCAGACUUGUACUGAAGGUCUGAAGAGGUAAUAACCAGGGCAGGGACUAGGGUGAGGUGAGUGGUACUUAACCUCAGGUGCAACACUUAAGGGGCCCCACAAAAACCCAGUAAUCAAGAUAAAUAACCCUGAUGAACAAAAUAUCAAAAUUUUAAACAAAGACAGGAUCAUCUGUAAGGAUUCAUAUUAGCCAUCUAUAUUCUUAACAUUUUUUGAAAUCAUUCCUGCCACCAGAAAUGUCUCUGUGGCCUACUUGACUCCCCAGUACCCCCAUGUCCAACCCACAGGUUCCUUGUUGUGGAAAUAUCUUACCUUACCUUCUUUUUGCUUAUUCCCAGGCUGUCUCACCUCUUCCUCCCUCUCUCCCCUCCCCACUAAUGGUGUACUUGAGGAAAGUCAGUAUUAUUCUUAGUUUAUUAUGUAAAACAACUUAUCUCUCAGUCUCAUCUUUCCUCUGCUCUGCCUCCUGGCUUUCCAAAACCAAAGUGGCUCUUGGGAUGUUUUGUAAAUAGUCAUAGGCCUGUUGUACUUUACCAACAUAAAUAAAUGAUCUUCAAAAUUAA